rnacentral:rRNA from 1 species
AAUCAACGCUGGCGGCGUGCCUCAGACAUGCAAGUCGAACGCGAAAGUCCCCUUCGGGGGACAAGUAGAGUGGCGCACGGGUGAGUAACACGUAGGUAAUCUACCUUCGGAUGGGGAAUAACAACCGGAAACGGUUGCUAAUACCGCAUAAUGCAGCGGCACCUAAUGGUGACAGUUGUUAAAGCGGGGGAUCGAAAGACCUCGCGUCUGAAGAGGAGCCUGCGGCGGAUUAGCUAGNGGUAGGGUAAUGGCUUACCAAGGCGACGAUCCGUAGCCGGCCUGAGAGGGCGGUCGGCCACACUGACACCGACAUACGGGUCAGACUCCUACGGGAGGCAGCAGUCGGGAAUUUUGGGCAAUGGGCGAAAGCCUGACCCAGCAACGCCGCGUGAAGGAUGAAAUCCCUCGGGAUGUAAACUUCGCAAGAAC